UCCCUCUUAGCUCAGUUGGUAGAGCGCGUCACUAGUAAAAGCAAUGACGAGGUCAGUCGUUCAAAUCGGCUAGCGGGAA